UGGCGGCAUGCUUUACACAUGCAAGUCGAACGGCAGCACGGGCUUCGGCCUGGUGGCGAGUGGCGAACGGGUGAGUAAUAUAUCGGAACGUACCCAGGAGUGGGGGAUAACGUAGCGAAAGUUACGCUAAUACCGCAUACGAUCUAAGGAUGAAAGUGGGGGAUCGCAAGACCUCAUGCUCCUGGAGCGGCCGAUAUCUGAUUAGCUAGUUGGUGAGGUAAAGGCUCACCAAGGCCACGAUCAGUAGCUGGUCUGAGAGGACGACCAGCCACACUGGAACUGAGACACGGUCCAGACUCCUACGGGAGGCAGCAGUGGGGAAUUUUGGACAAUGGGCGCAAGCCUGAUCCAGCAAUGCCGCGUGAGUGAAGAAGGCCUUCGGGUUGUAAAGCUCUUUUGUCAGGGAAGAAACGGCAGGGGCUAAUAUCCCUUGCUAAUGACGGUACCUGAAGAAUAAGCACCGGCUAACUACGUGCCAGCAGCCGCGGUAAUACGUAGGGUGCAUGCGUUAAUCGGAAUUACUGGGCGUAAAGCGUGCGCAGGCGGUUUUGUAAGUCUGUCGUGAAAGCCCCGGGCUCAACCUGGGAAUUGCGAUGGAGACUGCAAGGCUUGAAUCUGGCA
rnacentral:rRNA from 1 species